rnacentral:rRNA from 1 species
AUUGAACGCUGGCGGCAGGCUUAACACAUGCAAGUCGAGCGAGCGGCGGACGGGUGCGUAAUGUCUGGGAAACUGCCUGAUGGAGGGGGAUAACUACUGGAAACGGUAGCUAAUACCGCAUACCAUCAGAUGUGCCCAGAUGGGAUUAGCUAGUAGGUGGGGUAAUGGCUCACCUAGGCGACGAUCCCUAGCUGUUCUGAGAGGAUGACCAGCCAAACUGGAACUGGGACACGGUCCAGACUCCUACGGGAGGCAGCAGUGGGGAAUAGUGCACAAUGGGCGAAAGCCUGAUGCAGCCAUGCCGCGGGUGUGAAGAGGGCCUUCGGGUUGUAAAGCACUUUCAGCGAGGAGGCGUUACUCGCAGAAGAAGCAACGGCUAACUCCGUGCCAGCAGCCGCGGUAAUAC